rnacentral:lncRNA from 1 species
AAAGUGAGAACUGCUUAAUAUAAAACCCUCAACAGGAAAGCAGAGCUUAAAGCAGACUUAAGGGCAGCAAUAGAUGAUGAGUAGUUUUACACAGGAGUGAUCUGCAUUCGUGACGGGUUGGAUGAUGUGGAGCAGAGCAAGCCAGGACAGCUCAUGUGCUGUGGAAAACUGAACUGGGUUAUGUGGAAUGGCACUGGAUGGUACUGAGCUGAGGAGGGGGAUAAUUCAGUCCUUUAAGUGAUGUUUCAGCAUGUUAUUGCCAC